GACGAACGCUGGCGGCGUGCUUAACACAUGCAAGUCGAGGGGCGUCGGGGCGAACUCCGGUCGACCGCGAACGGGUGCGUAACACGUGAGCGACCUCGCCCAACUGCGGGGGAGUAGCCGGCCCAACGGCCGGGUAAUACCGCAUACGACGUCUGGCCCGCAUGGGCCGGGCGUGAAACCGAUUCAGGGCGGUUGGAGGGGCUCGCGGCCUAUCAGCUAGUUGGCGAGGUAACGGCUCACCAAGGCGAUGACGGGUAGCUGGUCUGAGAGGAUGGCCAGCCACAUUGGGACUGAGAGACGGCCCAGACUCCUACGGGAGGCAGUAGGUGGGGAAUUGUUCGCAAUGGGCGGCAAGCCUGACGACGCAACGCCGCGUGGAGGAUGAAGACCUC
rnacentral:rRNA from 1 species